AAAAAUAAAUGCUUGACUCUGUAGCGGGAAAGCGUAAUAUACGCCACCUCGCGACAGUGAGCUGAAAGCCGCGUCGCAACUGCUCUUUAACAAUU
rnacentral:rRNA from 1 species